CACCGCCGGUGCGCAGGUCGUCUGUCGCGGCCGGCGGCGCCCUCUUCCACCAGCGCUACAAACGAUACCCGAAUCUUCCACUUCAGUGCUGGCUCUGUUCUCCCAAGCCUCACGCGGGUUAACACUGUCGGUCGCGCUGCCCGUGCUGAUCUCCGGCUCCAGUUCUUCAAGUCGUGCUCCCAUUCGCCAGGUCCUACUGCAGUUCGUCAGGAUGGCCUGCAUCCCAUUGAAGAAGGUCUGUCCAGAUCAUUCCUGCUGGAAAGUGAGGGUCAGAGCUGUUCGUUUCUACAAAAAGUUCACCAAUGAGCAGCCCCCAAAACUGUCAAGGUUUGAAUUCAUCAUGCUGGAUGAAGAGAAUGUUGCCAUGGAGGCUGUUGUUCCAACAAAAUGGAUUGAUGAACAAAGGGCAAAGCUUAUAGAAGCCGGGGUGUACACUAUACAAUACUUUGAAGUCUGCAAUGCAAGAGCAGUAUAUCGC